UGGGGCGGGGCAGGCAUAUCUCAGGGCUAAGCACCAGCCCUGGCCCCAGAGGAUAUUGAGGGGAUGAGACAUGGCCCCAGCCCUGCCCAGCGGCGAUGUCACACCUGGGACCCAGCCUGAGCCCAGCUGUCAGGGGUGGUGGGCCAAGGGGACCGCCUUCCCCAUCAAACAUUCCACUGGGGAAUUGGCCCCCCAGCUCCUUCCUCCUCCCCCACACCUGGACAGAAUCCGUCCUCUUCCAGCCCCACCCCACCUGGCCCUGGCCCCAUCACCUCUGGGACUGGCCUCCCACUGCCCUACUCCAUGGCCACUCGUUCACCCGAUGCACAGUUCCUCGUUAGGACCGCACAGAUGAGGACCAAAGCUGCGGCCCUGCCCCGGGAGAGAUAGACAGCAAACAAGGAAAUAGUAUCCCUGUUUGGGGGGAAACCGAGUCCCAGAGAAGCGAUGUUCCUUGCCCAGACCACCAGUGGAAGCAAGACUUGAACCUGGUCUGACAGGCUCCAUGAUCCUAAGAUUUCAGAAACAAGAUUUCAUGACUUGAAGUGUAUCAGGGAGAGAAAGAGAGAGAGAGAGCACAAGGGGAGGAGCAGAAGGAGAGGGAGGGAGAAGCAGACUCCUUGCUGAGCACGGAACCCAACGUGGGACUUGAUCCCAGGACCCCGAGAUCAUGACUCGAGCUCAGAUCAAGAGUCCGAUACUCAACCGACGGAGCCACCCAGUGUCCCUGAAACUAUUCCGUUUAAAGUAAUUCCCCAUUCCCUGGCAAUCGCCGUUCUUCCUGUCUCUAUGAACUUGACUCCUCUAGGUACCUCGUGUAAGUGGAGUCAUACAGUAUUUGUCCUUUUGUGACUGGCUCAUUUCGCUUUGUAUACGUCUUCAAGGUUCACCCAUAGGGCAGCAUGCGUCAGCAUUUCCGUUCUUAUGAAGGCUGAAUAAUAUUCCGAUGUAUGCACAGACCGUUCAUCCAGCAGUGGACCCUUGGGCUGCUUCCACCUUUUGGCUAUUGUGAAUAAAAAUACUAUGAACA